rnacentral:rRNA from 1 species
GUGCCAGCAGCCGCGGUAAGACGAACCGUGCGAACGUUAUUCGGAAUCACUGGGCUUAAAGCGCGUGUAGGCGGGACGGCACGUCGGUCGCUGAAAGCCCCCGGCUCAACCGGGGAACGGGCGCCGAGACGACCGCCCUGGAGGGACGUAGGGGGACCUGGAACUUCCGGUGGAGCGGUGAAAUGCGUUGAGAUCGGAAGGAACGCCCGUGGCGAAAGCGAGGUCCUGGACGUCUGCUGACGCUGAGACGCGAAAGCCAGGGGAGCGAACGGGAUUAGAUACCCCGGUAGUCC